UAUUACUUACCAGAGUGCACAUCUUCAC
rnacentral:piRNA from 1 species